UGCCAGCCGCCGCGGUAAUACGGAGGGUGCAAGCGUUGUUCGGAUUUACUGGGCGUAAAGGGCGCGUAGGCGGUCUGUUAAGCUAGAGGCGAAAUCCCGGGGCUCAACCCCGGAACUGCUUCUGGAACUGGCAGACUAGAGAUAGGUAGAGGCAGGUGGAAUUCCAAAUGUAAAAAUGAAAUUCAUAGAUAUCUGGAGGAACACCGGUGGCGAAGGCGGCCUGCUGGACCUUAUCUGACGCUAAGGCGCGAAAGCGUGGGGAGCAAACAGGAUUAGAUA
rnacentral:rRNA from 1 species